rnacentral:rRNA from 1 species
CACGUAGGGCGCGAGCGUUGUCCGGAAUUAUUGGGCGUAAAGAGCUCGUAGGCGGCCUGUUGCGUCCGCUGUGAAAGCCCGGGGCUUAACCCCGGGUCGGCAGUGGAUACGGGCAGGCUAGAGGUAGGUAGGGGAGAAUGGAAUUCCCGGUGUAGCGGUGAAAUGCGCAGAUAUCGGGAGGAACACCGGUGGCGAAGGCGGCUCUCUGGUACGUGACUGACGCUGAGACGCGAAAGCGUGGGGAGCGAACAGG